AGGGGAUACUGCCUGGCUGGAGACAAGCAGAGGUUGGUAGAAUUCCGGGUGUAGCAGUGAAAUGCGUAGAGAUCGGGAGGAACAUCCGUGGCGAAGGCGGCCAUCUGGACCAGCACUGACACUGAGGCACGAAAGCGUGGGGAGCAAACAG
rnacentral:rRNA from 1 species